UUUAUUCGGGCUUAUAAAUGUAGCUUCAUUUCAGUAUUUCAAUUAUGACAUGAUUUAGUUUCCUACGAGAUUCAGCUAUUAUUUUGAUAAAGAGUGAAAAGAUUGACUGAUAUAGAUAUAUUUUUUGUGAAUCUUCAAGAUUUUGUUACCAAAAGCCUUGAAUCACCACAUGAUGAAGAGAUCCUAAGAAGACAAGACUCUAUAUCCUUGAUCCUAGAAGUCAAAUGUCCAUAGUACUCCUCGUAGAUGUCCAGGAUAGCAGAAUCCAUCCUCACAAGAGUGGAAAUAACCAUAAAAAUAUACCUCACUUUAAAAACAAGUGUUUUGAAUUAUGACAUGUUUUAAUAUAUUGUUAUAUUAAUAAAUGCUUCACCAAUUCUUCUAUUAA